GGAGAUUUAGCUCAGUGGUAGAGUGCUUGCCUAGCAAGCGCAAGGCCCUGGGUUCGGUCCCCAGCUCCU
rnacentral:tRNA from 1 species